UGGGGUUUUGGCUCAGCGGUAGAGCGCUCGCCUAGCACAUGUGAGGCCCUGGGUUUGAUCCUCAGCACCACAU
rnacentral:tRNA from 1 species